rnacentral:lncRNA from 1 species
AUGAUAAAGCUGCUAAUGGGUCAGAUUUUACAACUCAUGCUAGAACUGAUAAAUUCUUCAUCCCAACCUUCUCUAGCAGUUGUCAGGCUUUCACAACCACCUACUGCACACAAUUCUUCAUCCCAGCAAGCCUCAACAUCACAAACUGUCCAAAGAAGGAGACUAAAGUCUCCAGCAAAGGAAGGCCAUGGAGAGUUUGAGAUGAUGUUUUAUGGAACUGUAAUUGGUUUUU